rnacentral:rRNA from 1 species
AAACGGAAGAGUUUGAUCCUGGCUCAGGACGAACGCUGGCGGCGUGCCUAACACAUGCAAGUCGAGCGGACGAGGGAGAGAUUUCUCGUUAGCGGCGGACGGGUGAGUAACGCGUGAACAAUCUGUCCCAUACAGGGGGAUAACGAAUGGAAACAUUCGCUAAUACCGCGUAAGACCACUAGGAGGCAUCUUCUGGGGGUAAAAGGAGAGAUCCGGUAUGGGGUGAAUUCGCGUCCCAUUAGAUAGUUGGUGAGGUAACGGCUCACCAAGUCGACGAUGGGUAGCCGAUCUGAGAGGAUGACCGGCCACACUGGAACUGAGAGACGGUCCAGACUCCUACGGGAGGCAGCAGUGGGGAAUAUUGGGCAAUGGGGGGAACCCUGACCCAGCGACGCCGCGUGAGGGAAGAAGGCCUUCGGGUCGUAAACCUCUGUCCCAUGUGAAGAGAAGAAGACGGUAGCAUGGGAGGAAGCCCCGGCUAACUACGUGCCAGCAGCCGCGGUAAUACGUAGGGGGCGAGCGUUGUCCGGAAUGACUGGGCGUAAAGGGCGCGUAGGCGGCUCUGUAAGUCUGGAGUGGAAGUCCUUAUUUCAAGUGAGGAAUUGCUUCGGAGACUGUGGAGCUUGAGUGUGGGAGAGGAUAGCGGAAUUCCCGGUGUAGCGGUGAAAUGCGUAGAGAUCGGGAGGAACACCAGUGGCGAAGGCGGCUAUCUGGACCAAGACUGACGCUGAGGCGCGAAA